UACGAAGGGGGCUAGCGUUGCUCGGAAUCACUGGGCGUAAAGGGCGCGUAGGCGGCAUUUUAAGUCGGGGGUGAAAGCCUGUGGCUCAACCACAGAAUGGCCCUUCGAUACUGGGACGCUUGAGUAUGGUAGAGGUUGGUGGAACUGCGAGUGUAGAGGUGAAAUUCGUAGAUAUUCGCAAGAACACCGGUGGCGAAGGCGGCCAACUGGACCAUUACUGACGCUGAGGCGCGAAAGCUAGGGGAGCAAACAGG
rnacentral:rRNA from 1 species